GGAGUUACAGGCAGUUGAGUGCCACUCAGUGCGGGUGCCAAGAAGCGAACUUGGGUCUUCUUCAAGAACAAUCAUCCCACCUUGCAGGCCAAGAUGUUCUGUCAGCAUAGACAUGGAUAGCAUGUAGGUGCUUGCUGGCAGUUCACCAUCGAUGGAAAAUAUUCUUCUUCUACCCAAUGAACUUGACCUGGACAGUGAGUCAUCCUGAAGCUACAGGUACCAUGAAGGAGUGGGAGAAGGACAAGGGACUCGUUAAGGACCUCAAGAAGGUGUCCAUAGACGAUUGCGGUCACUGGCUGGAGGAACUUUUUAAAGUACUGGAAACCAGUGCAAGGUCCCAAAACACCACUUCUAAAGCAUACAUUAUGUUCUCCUGGUAAAAUUAGUUGCCAUCAAUUGUGCCAAUUUCCAGAAAGUUCUGACUGCGGUAAAUAUGUCAGAUCCAUGGAAGAUGCAUGGAUAUUUGCUUCUCUUGCUAGUGAAAUAACUCAACAUGGACACAGUCCCUACAACUGCUAUUCAUCUCUCUACCCAGGACCUGGUAAAAUGGUUGUCACAUAUGUGUCAUGUGGUCUACCCAGGGAGAUCAGGUGCUAAUGAAGGUGCAUUGUUGUUUAUUCAGGAUUUUUGCUGUUUGUUUUAGGAUCAACAUCAAUGGCUCUAGAUGUCACCUGGCGUGUGCAUCUGUACACUACCCAACUUUCAUCACAGAAUUUAUUUAUCAUUAUAGUAAUCAUUUUAAUCAUAAUUGCUUUCCUUGUUGUGAUCCUUGUGAGGAAAUUCUGCCCAGCUGAAGAUGCACCUGGAGGCACUGCAGCAAUGGCUGUUACAGAGAACCGAGUUCAAUUCUAGCACCCACAUUGGCUGGCUCACAACCACUUGUGACUCCAGCUACAGGAGCAUCUAAUGCCUCAGGCCUCUGAGGUCACCUGCACACACGUUCACAUACCACUGCACAGACAUGCACACAUACACAUA